rnacentral:rRNA from 1 species
AUGGAGUAUGAUGCUUCAUCCACGACGGGGUCCAUGUUCCUGCCUUUCCUUGCGAUGUUCGGGGCCAUCUACCUCCUCGGCUACUUUGUGGUCUUCCGGCGCUGGAGCCUGCAGCAGCGGCCGGACGCGUCCAGCUGCCUCACCUCGCUCUUCCACGGCACGCCGGCAACGCUGCUGGCGCUGCGCGCAGUGCGGUCCAGCUCGAGGGCUGGCGACCUCGCGGCGCCCAACAUGCCUGCCGACGACCUCGCCCUCGACUUCAGCACGGCCUACUUCACUGUCGACCUCAUCCACUACCUCGUCUUCCUGCCCCACGAGGUGCUCUUCGUGGCGCACCACCUCGCCACGCUCUACGUCUUCGCCACCUGCCGCGCCGCCGUGCGUUGCGGCGCCUACGGGUUGCUCGCCUUGGAGGUGCUCGCCGAGGUCACCAGCCUGGCGCAGAACCUGUGGACGCUGGCCGGCAUGCGGCGCGCCGACUCGCUGCUGGCCGCCAGGGCGCACGCCGUGUUGUCGCUCCCGUUCUACCCGGCUUACACGGCCAUGAGGGCGGUCCUCGGGCCGGUCUGGUUCGUGAGGAUGGUGAAAUUCUAUGCCGCCGAUGGUGGUGUGCCGACGUGGGCGUGGGCGUCGUGGAGCGUGGUGAUUGGGUCCGCGAUACUGGUGAGCGUGCUGUGGGUGGGCAACCUGUGGUUGGUCUACUUCAGACAAAGGAUGGGGAACAACAAGAAGGAACAAUGA